ACAAUCUCUCGACUCUCGUUGUUCUUCUUAUUUCCUUCUCUAUCGUUGCCACUUGCUAAUUGAGUCUACGAGUCGGAGACGUAGACAUGUCCGACGAUAUCCAGCCCUCCGACUACACGUCGUCGCCUCCGCCUGCAGCAGCUCUGCCUACAGCUUCGCUUGUAGCAGCUCCGCUUCCUGGUCAGCUUAGUGCUUGCUCAUCUCGUUGCUCCCUCUCUGAAGCUCUUCUUUGAAGAUAUAGCUCGAGAUAUUCUUAGUAGCUGUUGGAAGCUUACCAGAGUUGAAUGUUUAUGGUCAUGAUUACCACACAAAAGAUGGCAGUGCUAUCAGGGAUUACAUCCAUGUGUUGAAUUUGGUUGAUGGUCUUGUUGCAGCACUUAAAGAGCUAGACGAAUUUUUGUAAUAUAUUUUAUGGUGGUAGUUUGCAUGGCAAAAUAUGGGACCGAGGAGAUGUGCAGGGUCAAUGAAAUUGGGCAAAACAGAACCCAUGGGGAUACCAGAAGCUGAUGACAUUGUCUUCAAGUAGUUGAAAAUUAAUAAUAAUCAAGUGUUUAGGUAGCAUAUAUGACGAGUCUAAGUCAAAUGGUGAAAGCAGGUAAUCUGAAGAUGGAUUAAUUGCAAGGAUAUUUUUGUGAAUACUUUGGUUGAUUUUAACUUUCAAGCAAAUCGGAUGACGACGCAAGUCAUAUAUAUCCAAACCAAAGGAGUCAAAGUGUGCAUUGCAUGGUUUUAAGUCUUAUGUUAUAAUUAGUUGUGAAUUUGGGUUAAUGAAUUGAAAAGUUUACAUAU